CCUCCAAGGCUAAAUACUCCUGACUGACCGAUAGUGAACCAGUACCGUGAGGGAAAGGCGAAAAGAACCCCGGCGAGGGGAGUGAAACAGAACCUGAAACCGUGUACGUACAAGCAGUGGGAGCCUUCUUUAUGGGGGUGACUGCGUACCUUUUGUAUAAUGGGUCAGCGACUUAUAUUCUGUAGCAAGGUUAACCGUAUAGGGGAGCCGCAGGGAAACCGAGUCUUAACUGGGCGUUAAGUUGCAGGGUAUAGACCCGAAA
rnacentral:rRNA from 1 species